rnacentral:lncRNA from 1 species
AAACGAAAUAAGGCAAGAAAGUUCAGCCAAUUCCCAUCGAGGAAAGGGUGAUUUUCGAGCAUAGGAAGGUGAGAUUUGAGGCGCUAAUGUUUGUAAAAUUGGGAAGGGAACGAGGGACGCAUAUUCUGGAGAUUCUCGGCCAAGGAACAACUAGGAAAGAAUCAAGUGGUUAAACGCGGCUGAAGAAAUCAAUUAAAUGGAGGGUCGAGGGGGAAACCGUGAUUAGUGAGGUUGGCAUAAUGAAAGAGAUUUUCGGAGUCUUCUACGAGGGAAGUUUCAAUGAAAAAAAGGGGGAAGGGAAACAAGGGUUGAAACUCGUGGGAGAUGGGCAACAUUUUCUAAAAGGAAAGCAAUGACUUGUGGGAAUCGAAGAAAACAAACGAUGAAGAGAAAGAGGUGACGAAACAGUUCGUGCGAGGACGCGAGGCCACCUUCUGGUAAGGAGAGCCAUAAGUGAAGGCGUUAAAGCGGCGAUUGAAACGAUCCUUCCUUCACGCGUCGCUGCUCUCUCGUCGAGUAGAGGAUCGCUCAUGUCGCAAAGAGGAAACCUGAAAAGCCACGCACCCAGAUCUGGACAAGGCUGGUCACGACCCUCACCCAUUAGGCCAUUGCCAGCCACAAUUUAAAAAAAAAAAAAAAGGAUAAAGAGGAAAAAAAAAGAAAAGGAAAAAAGAAAAUUAAUAAAAUCAAUUCAAAAAUUCAAAAAUAUUAUAACAUUAUUAAAAAUUAUCAACAUCAGCACUAGUGUAGGACAAUCGACGUCUACGUUGGCAAAUUCUAGCUAAAAUUGGCCGGAUUAACUCAAUUAGUAAAAAUGUGAAAAUGUUUAGGACUCAAUUGGUAAAUGUGCAAUAAGUUUAGGACUUGUUGGACAAUAUUUCCCACAAUCGGGAAGAUCCAAAUCUAUAGACAAGAAGAAACUCAAUGGAAAUCAUUAUGAAGAAUCAAACACUGCCCAAAAUUAUUAACUAAUUCGUGCAGCAAAAUAUCCUAACAACUUUAAGAAAAACACCACGAUGUAUAGAACUUUCUGCAUGUUCUCGUGUCAUGCCUUAUGAAAUCCACGGUCCCCUACGUUAUUGAAAGCCCAUAGCACGAAAAAGAAUAAUCACUUACAUGGAGUCAUGCUGGAUGAUUCAAGCCUGGUCAAGCCAGCCAAGGCCCCAAGAAGGAAUGGGGAGAUUAUAAGCAAGAGCAAGCAGAAAAUCGUGGGCAAUAACUAAUAAAGAAAAAUUGACACAAAUGGCUCAUGAAUUUUAAUUUAAUAUACUACGUCAUCCAUGAAUUAUUCAAUUUCAUCCCUAAAAUUAUAUUUAAUGUAGCAAAAUUGUUCAAGCGAUGAUAAGAAAAACAAUAUGAUGUAUAAAACUUUCUCUAUGUUCUCGUAUCAUGCCAUGUCAACUACAGUUUUGUGGAAUCAUAAUCUUCAAUUUAUGUCGUCCUCCAUUAUUAUGAGCUUGGAGCACCAAAAAGAAAAAUCACUUACUGCCAUAGGCCCCCGGAAGGAAAAGGGAGAUUAGAACCAAGAGCAAGCAGAGAAUGGUUAUAAGAGAAGAUGAUGACAAUGUUGAUGAAGGGAAGUGCAUUUUUGCUGUCAUCUCUGUGUGGGUGUGUGGGUGGGUGUGUGGGGUGGGUGGGUCUAUAUAAUCUCUUAUGUGCAGAUAAAAGAAGACUUCAAAGUCUUCCAUCUUCGAAUUUUCUACAUUGAGUAAAAGAAUGGUAAGAAAAUACCCAAGAAGUCCAAUGAAGGAAGAUGGCUUGUUAGACUUCAAAGUCUUCCAUCUUCGAAUUUUCUACAUUGAGUAUAAGAAGGGUGAGAAAAUACCCAAGAAGUUCAAUGAAGGAAGAGGACUUGUUAGACUUCAAAGUCUUCCAUCUUCGAAUUUUCUACAUUGAGUAAAAGAAGGGUAAGAAAAUACCCAAGAAGUCCAAUGAAGGAAGAGGAUUUGUUAGUUUUAAAGUCCACAUGACUUUUCAAUUCUUUUUCAAUCUCUUUGUGCGUAUCAUAUCAUCCACAUGAAGAGAGCGUGUAAUGCGGUGGGUUGAAAACAGCCGUGUAGGUACCUAACCUCGGUAAGUCUCAAUUCAUAAGCAUGCGAUUGUCCAAAAUUGCGCUCACACUACAAAUAAUAGUCUAAAAUGGUUUUGAUUCAUUUUAUUCCGGUCAUAACUUUUACCAGACUCGAAACUUUUGGAAAUAAGGAUAGAAAUUUCUAAGCCUUUAAGGAGAGUGAUUAUGGUCACGGGACCCGUCAUGGCAAAGCCUGAAUGAGAGAGAGAGAGAGAGAGAGAGAGAGAGAGAGAGAGAGAGAAUAGUUCAAUCAAUUUGCAUAUGUUACAAAGAUCAUGAAAGAACGAAGCAAGCUCUACUUGCUGAUUGGCAAAGUGUAAGCAUAACUUUUGAGUGAAUGAUAAACUAUAGCAAUACGUGAAAAGAGUUAAGCAAGCUCACUCGAGGCUUGAGAGCAAGGUUACAAGGCAACCAAUUGUUUGGUUAUGUUUAUGUCAACGUUACAAUAUGUGAGAGAAAGUAUUUCGUAUUAUUCAAUAAUGUUUAAUAAAUACAUUAAAAAAAAAUCCUAAAGGUCCUAAAGACUACUUUAACCUUAAACUCUAACACUCCCCCUCAAGUUGGAGCAUAGAUAUUAAUCAUAACCAACUUGUUGCAAAUAUAAUCAAUCCUCCCAUUAUCUAGAUGUGUAGUAAAUAUAUCUACAAGUCGUUCACUAGUUCGAAUAUGACAAGAAAGAAUCGUCCACUCUACAACUUCUUUUGAAUAAAAAGACAAUUGACCUUAAUGUGUUUUGUUCUCUCAUAAAACACGAGGUUGGAAGCUAUAUGCACUGCAGCUUUAUUAUCACACCAUAGGGCCAUGGGUACUGAAAUUGUAAGGCCUAAUCCCUUAUACUAUAACACAAAAUAUAGAAGAUAUCAUGAUGGGAAAUUAGAUUAAGUUCUUGCAAGGUCUCAAAGUUGCCAAACACCAAGUUAUCAAUAAAUAAAAUACAAGAGGUUAAAGAAAAAACUCUCUAAGAAGGUUCUCAUUAGAAAAGACUAGCAAGAUCAUGAAUUGUCUUCGAAUUAGUUGAAGCACAUCGAUCCAUCCUCUCCAUCGGCUCGCUUGUCUAGCAUGCUUUAGUAGCAUGAAAGUCUUCGUCUUUACAUUGAAAAAAAAGGGAGAGAAAAGCUAGAUGUAGUGACUAAUUGAGGUAACUUAGACUUGUAUAGAGAAGUAGUAAGACCUAAGUGUAAAUGUUGUUCUCUCUGUGUGGCCAUUGUGAGUAUUGGAGAAAGUUGGUGACAAAGGAGUUGGCAAUCAUUGCAUGAGAUCUUCACCUUGAAUGUUCUACAUUGAGUAAAAGAAGGGUAAGAAAAAACUGGAGAAGUCCACUCAAGGAAGGAGACUUGAAAGUCUUCCAUCUUUGGAUUUUCAACAUAGAGUAAAUGAAGGGUAAGAAAUAAUUAAAAUAGUAUGAUCAAGGAAGGGGCCUCGUUAGUUUCGAAGUCCACAUGCCUUUUCAAUUCUAAUUCAGUCUUUUUGGGUGCAUCGCAGUAUCCACACCAAGAGAGCAUGCAAUGUGGAGGGUUGAAAACAGUCGUGAAGGUACCUGACCUCAAUAAGCCUCAGCUCAUCACUGCACGAUUGUCCAAAAUUGUACUUACAUUACACUAGUAUUAAUCUAAAAUGGUCCUCAUUCAGGUCGCCAAUCAUGUGGUUUUGAUUAUAUUUAUUCAUUUUAUUCCAAUCCUUGACUUUUUAUUAGACUCGGAACGUAUGCAAAUAAAGAUAAAAACUUUCUAAAUUUUGAAGGCAAGUGAUUAUGGUCUCAGGAUCCAUCAUGGCAGAGCUUGGAUUAGAAAUAAAGCGAGAGUUAAAACAAUUUCCUAACUUAACCAAUUUGCACCUGUUAGAAAGAUCAUGAAUGAAUAGAGCAAGCUCAACUUGCUGACUAGCAAAGGGUAAAGCAUAACUUGUGAAUGAAUGAGAAAUUCUAGCAACAUAAGAAGACAGUCAAACAAGCUGACAUGAGGCUUGAGAGUGAAGUUACAUGGCAGCUAAUUGUUUGGUUAUGUUCAUGUCAACAUUGCAAAAGAAUGCAGAUAUCAUGAAGGAAAUUAUAUUAAGUUCUUGCAAGGUCUCAAAAUUGCCGAAGACAAAGAUAUCUUUCAAAAAAAAAUGCAAGAGGUUAGAGAAACAACUCUCGAAGAAGAUUCUUAUUAGAAAAAAAAACUACAAAGAUUGUGAAAUGUCAUCAGAUCAAUUGAAGUACAUUGAUCCAUCCUCUCCAUGGCCUUGCUUGUCUAGCAUGUUUUAUUAUGAUGAAAUCUUCAUCUUUACAUCGAAAAAAGAAGGGAGAGAAAAGAUAAAUACAGUGACUGUUGAGGUAACUUAGACUAGUACAAAGAAGUAAUAACACGUAAAUGAGAUGAUGUUCUCUCUAUGCAGCCAUUCUGAGUACUAAUCUACCGAAGUUGUAGACAGAGGAGCUAGCAAUAUCAAAUCCGAAAUAUUACGAGUUCCGAUUUCUUCCUCAUCUGUCACUAGAUGAAAAACCGUGUGUUGCAUUUUGAGUUAUCUUAUUCAUACAUCAAAUAGUAAUGGUGGGUUUGAUCACAAUGUCAUAAAGUCCACAAGAAACUCUCAAAUUUUUCAUUCUUCUUGGUUGGUCAACUUGAAAGUCAUCAUGUUGACAUCCAGCAUUAAUAGAGUGAGUCUCCACCAAGGGGCAUUUUUGCCUCUAUUUACGAAGGAAAGGGAGACGGAGAGUGUUUAUGGAAAAUAGAAAGCAAACGAUAAAAAGAAUUUUUUGAAAAAUACGAAAUGUGGACCUCAUUGAACGCGUAUUGAUCAACGGAUGGGCUAUUGUAUUCUCGAUUGGACCUAACUAUCGUACCAAAUAUUUUUUUCACCCCGCGUAACCCCAGAGGUCAUAGUCAUGGACGUCAUCAUUAGAAUUUUCUAUUAUUUUCAGCAUUUUAUAUUUACCAGCCGUCUAUAUUUGAAAUUUUAUAUCACUUCGCCUUGUCGCCCAUCAGGGUGGGCCCCACCAGGCAAUGCGCUCUUGUCCGGAAAGGACGCAUGGGGGAAUACAAAAGGGGGGGUUUCAGAGGCGGACCGGUGCGGAACGGACAGUUGUCAAGGCGCGCGUCCCCUUCACGCGCUGCUAACGCCCCCAUCGGACUUUUCCCCCACGUGUCCCGCGCUCGAGGCGCGUGAACUGCACGUCGACUUCUUUGUUAUGUGCCGAAAUUGCCCUUCGGCGAGUCGUCCGUGUCGAGAGUAGUGGUGGCUGGAACCGAGUAGCGUCGGUUCACUUACGGGAGCGCGUGAAUGUGAGACCCUCCCUUAAUUCUUGCAGGAUUAGUGCUUACAGAAUCUUAUCCUAAUUCUCCCACGUUUGCCAUAUUUUAUAUGGUGAGCCCUCGGUACUAAUCGUGGACCCCACUUAUAUUAUGGAAUCUUGGACUCGAUCCAAACCCUCGAGCAAUUGGUAGUUGAAACCAAUCUCUCAACUAGGGCUGCGGGCCAGUUUGCGCUCGGAAACCGGACCAAAUCGGUUCACAUUAACCCCUUUAAGGGUAAUCUUUGAAAAAAUCGGUCCUUUCCCUAUUUUGUGAAUCUAGAAGCAGCCUAGGACCAAUUCAAUGCUUGGCUCUGAAAUUGGAACCACUGAUUUUACAUAGAGAUAGAUUCAAUUAGUCAGAUUCUCCUAUUAUAUCAACCGAGUUUAAAUUAUGAUCUUCCACAUGAAUAAAUAAUAUUAUAACCACUUGAUGAAUAAAUAUUUUUUUAAUGACAUAAUGUUACUUUCAUAUUAUAUCAUGAAAAAUUGGAUAAAAAACAUUUUGAGGACUAGUUUGGCUUCCAAUUCUAACUAUCGAAUUGAAAAUCGACCGUUAAUUUUCCUGAACUAGAAGAAUUCAAGCCUAUUCAAUUAGAUCAAAAUUGUGCACUCAUCAUCCCGAUCCCAUUGAUUAAUAGAUUGAUUGCAAGAAAUAAGCCAUGUAGAUGGAAUGAAACACCAUUUGAUUAGAGUGGAAGAUUGGAACGUUGGAUGAUUCCAAAGGUAAUUUACUCCUAAAUUUAGAUCUUUUUUAUUUUUGAGCUUUGCUCUGCUCUGUCUUUAGAACGUAUCGAUGAAUUAGGCCCACUUAAGAUUUUGAUUUAGAAUUCAGAUUGUUGUUAAUUUUGUAUGUCCAAUGCGACAAAAAACUUUUUAAGUAAAUUUGUAGUAAGACUUCUUAAAGAAGGCCUUAAAAUUUUAAAAUGACCCAAACAAGCUUUAAAAUGUCGUGAAAUUAAGAUAAGUACCUAACUAAUGAUUAUUCCAAUUGAAGGAUUAAGAAAGAAAUAGCAUAGAUUUCAUUAACGGUCGAGGGAAUCUUUGGUUUCCCAUUAUGGUUCCACCAUGAUAAAUCUAGUUUAUCUAAUAUUAAUCUCUCCAUUGAAUUAGUAAACUUACACCUUGUCAACACUUACGAUCGAGACAGAAAAAGCAUCCAUCCCAUCUGAUUACUCAAGGGAGCAUUUCUUUUAAGGGCUUAAGCAUAUUAAGAUGAACGAUAGAAAGGUGGAAACAUCAAGGGAAAGACAUAUUAAAGCUGAAGACAAGUAUCAUUGCCAACUCUUAAGUCUGUCCAGCAAUGACUUCCAAAAUUAAUCUCAAAGCAUUCCCACAGUAGAUUAGGAGGCCAAAAAAAAAAAAACCUAAAAUUAUGUAUCCGAGUCAUUACAAAUUCUCAAGAAUGCAUGGGGUCAUGCGAAUAUGUUACACUGUGGUGUACAUAUCCGGAUAAGUCUAUCAUAAAAGGAACAAGUAGCAAUCACCAUGUUCUCUCUUUUGCGCUCUUUUGACGUACCUUUCUGCCAAUCCGCACCAUAUGCAAGUGAGCUAUGUCUAUUGUAUGUCUCCGCAAUUUUAAUCGCCUCGCCCCUGAGAUCAACAAGUGCAAAUCCAUCGUGCAUACAAGCUGCCAAGACUACACUGCGUACAUGAGGAUGUUGCUUGAUUCUCCAAACUCCUCCCCCAAAGCAGAUUGAACUCUGAUUUACAGGUUUUGAGAUCGAUCUUAUAUCCCAAACUCUAAUGUGUUCAUCAUAGCUACCAGUAAGGACAACAUUAGGGUCAGAUAUGCUCUUCGUGAUGCAGCAAACACCCAUUUUAUGUUCCUUGGAAUUUCGGAACACUGAAUUUGAGGGACAGUCACGGACAUUACAACAACUGAAUUUACAGUCAUCGGAGCCUGUGUAUAUCAAGUGGGGUCAGUGGGUGUCGAAGGAAGCUGCCCACAACUCAAAAUCAAGUGCUUUCCAUUCUUGCUCAAUUUCAAUUUCAGUCUCAGAGCGAGAUAAUAAUGAGACAGAGCCAUCCGAAAGCCCCACUACUAUCAAUGUAGCUGAAGGACUCCAAUCCAGGCAUAGGCACAUAGAAGAACUGAUUUUCGUACCAGUGACCUCUCUCAACAUGAGACCUGCGUCAGGUCCAUCUCAAGUAAUUAAUACAGUGGGAACAUCCAAACGUCAAAGACACUGUCCACUUCUGCCAACCAACCCAUCACUUGCAAAAGAGAAGUUCAUCGGUACUAAAUUUAAACAAUUGUCGAUAUCAAUCUCUAGAAGAGUAUUUAUUUUGGCAGGACAAUGACACAUCCAAAUGAUGAGUAGAGGAAUGCUGCCAAAUAAUUGUGUGCCCGUUGUUAUACCACUAAAGAACACUUCCAUUACAAUACCAGAGAUUAUGCGAAACAAAGGGAAGAAAGUGGGUACCCUUUUCUUCCGGUCCAUCCGAAGAACUCUCCAAGCCAUGAACUUUGACAUAACCAUCCCAGUCAGCUUGUGCCAACAAGGGACAUCCAAUAUUAGCUUCAACAGGGCUCCAUUUGAUGUCAAGAAUACCAGUGGAUUUUAGACAGUGUAAUAAAUCAAGUUAGCCUGAACCAGCAUUGACAUUUAAGAGUACUAUGCUGCCAGAUCGAGAAGGAUUGUCAACUUCUUGUAGCGUGUAAGUGGAAGCCGCUAGAACAUGGAUGUAAGAAUUGUAGGGACAAAAUUAAACAGCAUCUGUGUUUCCGUCAAGGUAGAAAUGUGCAAUGUCCAUACCUAGUAAAUUAAAUGGAGUGCAACUUGUCAAGUAAUAUUUUUGGCUAUGACUUUUUUCUUUCUUUCUUUUUUUUUCUUUUUUGAUUUCGGGGGUGGAGGGAGCGGGUUUCAGUUCACAUGAACUCUAUUGCAAAUAUUAAUCGAAUGGGUAGAAGUAAAAAUUAUUCUGAGAAGUGGUUGAACAGCAGGAGCUUUUACAACUAAACAAAACUUCCAACCAAAUCUAUUCAACAAUUCAUAUCCUAGCGGUUGAAGGAACUGCAAUAUAACUUGAAUGCAAUAGGGAAGUUCCAUUUGAUGUAUAUGGAACUCGCUAUAUUUUUUGGAGUUUACUGACACCUUGAACAAAUUACCAUCACUUCUUAAAUAUUAUCCUAUCGCAAAUGACUGUGAUUUCAGUCAUAAUCAUAAAUUUGUACACAUCAGAGCAGUAACCAAGGAAGAGGACAAGGAGUUCUUAGGCAUACAACAAGACAUGUCGGACAGAUUGGUACAAUGUUUUUAAUGCAGGCCUAGACUUCACCCAGCUGCCUGUCGUAGAGAUUCUUUCACCGGCAAGUCGAACUUCAGUCAGUGAAAUACCAAGAAAGAGUGAUGAAUUCAAAAUUGGAAAAUGCUAAGUGUGCCCCUUAGGCACUUGUUGAGCAUUGUCAAAUAUGGUUCACAAUUUUAAAAUGUAAAUUUGAAGGAAGUGAUUUUAUUAAAAUGCGCAAUUCAUUCAUUUUGAAAAUGUCUUGAAAAGCAUUAGUUAUUUCUACUUCCAGUUAGCUUGUUAACAAGACCCUUCAAAACUUAGUCAGUGAAAGCACCAUGAAAGAGUGAUGCAUUCACUCUGAAUCCACGAUACGCAAUUAAGGAAGAACUCCUUUUUUCAAGCACAAGCUAGCAAAUUAAUAGCCCGACAUGACAAAAGCAUGGAUAUGCUCAGCAAAAACAAUUAGCUAGUUGCGGAUAACUCCACAGUAAUAGCCAUUUUUGUGACACUGGCUACUUGAAGUACUUCAAACUUCAUGCACCCGGGCUUCGACGAAUCCUAAUGCCCACCACUACACAAAUCAACAAACUUACUGCGAUAUCAAUACCUAUGAAUUCAUGCUUAAAAGGGAAAGGGCAAAAAGAUUAACACUACAUAGAGAGCAUGCACUCCAAUUCACACAGACAUCACCACAAACAGUUGCUGGGCAGCCAGGAAAAAAGCAGCAAGAUCACAUCAUAACCCCCGUUUUCCCUGGUGACUGUCUAUGAAGAAAGGAAGGACUGUAGAGAGGACGAGAGCUCACUUGGUAGGACCGGGAAGACGACAGCAGCAGCAGCAGGACGCUGUCAGAGACCGGGAAAGAGAGACGGUCGGAACGGGAGCGCUGCUAUGGCUGUUGUGCCUUUCACUCCUUGGCAACCGGUGGGUGUCUCUGAUUUUAUGAUCCAAUUUUUAUCUUUAUUUUAAUCAUUGAUAUUUUAAUUUUAAAUAAGUUUUGUUUGUCUCAACUAAUCAAAACUCAAAACUCACUUUUAUAUUUUUCCCACAAUCUAAAUAUCGUUUUUAAUUUUAAAAGAUUAUGUAAGAAUUACGUGUGAAUAUUUGUGUCAAUAUUUUUUUUUUGUUUCUAAAUGAAGUGUUCUAUUUUAAGAAACUAAUCACAAAGUGUGCUUCUUCAAAUAUUGAUAUAAUUGAUAAAUAAAAUACUCCAUUUUUUUUUUUAGAUUGGGUUUUAGAAGUUGAACUUCGUUGCGCAUGAGUAUCAUUAUCAUUGCCCAACCUUGCUUAAUACAUGCAGCCUCCAAAAUCAUACAAUUUGAAAGGCACAUUUCUAUGCAUUUGAAUAAGUAAUUUUUUUCUUGGACUCAACCCAUCUUGGUUCGUUCAGACGCAAUCAAAUCUGUGCGGUUAGCUUAAUACUAUCUCUAGCAAUGGAGGAGACAGGCAAGAGCCUUUGGGCCCUCUCAAAGUAGGAGAAAAAUAGGGACAACCAUGAAUGGAAGGAAGUACAUUAAUACUGGAGAGAGGGUUCUAUAGUCUAUAAACUUUUCUACAUAAUGUUUAGUAAUACGAUAAAAUGGUGGGCUCCUCAUGUAACUCUCGUAGAAAAAAUAUUAGGUACAAUAAUCGUAUCCAAUCAGCAAUACACUAGUUCAUCCGUUGAUCGACACGUGUUAAGGGACCACAUUUCCAAUUUUUUAGAAAUCUCUUUUUCACUCAUCUUUUCUCUUCCAUAGACACCCUCCCUCUUUCUUCUUUCUCCGUUUUCAUUCAUCCUCGUUCUCCUCUCUCAACCCUCAAAUUCAACGCAUGGUCGCGCAGUCUCCAGUUUUUGGUUUCGCACGAAAAUGCACAAAGCUCCGUCAGCUUCUUACCUUAGCUCGGGCGGCUUGGACCUGACCAAAGCCUUCUUCAAGUCAAUCCAGUACACCCUACAGCUGUCGUCCUCCAAGUACCACAUCAAGAUCGCCAUCGUCGGGGUCGACAACGUUGACAUGGCCAUCACCCUUACCAUCCUCACCCCGGACCUCACUUAACGAGCUGCCACUCAUCGACGCUGAUCUUCACACGCUCUACGGCGAGAUGCUUGACCCCCAGCACGCCACCGCCUUUCUCUCAAUGGAUGACGAAGGCCGAGAUCUUAGUGAAGGCAAGACGGACUUGCAUAAACACCAAAAUCUUUGCCUCUGUUGUCGAAGGAAAAAAGAGACGGAUAAAAAAAUUCUGAGGACUAGUUCGGCUUCCAAUUCCAAUGCUUUGAAACUGGGGUCGCACGAUCGCAUUGGAAAUCGAUUCAGGACCCGAGUUCCGAUCCCGCUACUUACCAAACGUAACAUGGGAUUCCCAUGCACGUGAUUUGACCAAACCUCACGUAAGAUUCCCGUACUCCCAAAUCCCGCUGUCGUCCGGUCAGCCGGUUAGCACUGGCUCACUGAACGACCGUUAAUUUUCCCGGUAAAAUUACGUGACAGAAUUGUCUCCCCGACCCCCUCUCCUUUUCUCUCCAACUGCCAAAUCCCCCUCGCGGAUUUUCUCGAGAAAAAAAGAGCAAAACUCCGCCUCCACAAUUUUCUCACCGCCGCCGCCAUCGCCGGCGCUCUUCUCCAUCUCGCUGCGGCGUGGGAUCGUGCGGGGAUUUUGAGCUCGGCAGCGAGUUUCUCGGGGCCGAGGUUACUUUUGCUAUUUCCGAGGAGAGAGAAGCUCGUCCCCUCGCCCCUCGAUUGCGGUGAUUCUGCGAUUUAGCUGGUUGUCUCGGUCGUUGUCGCUUCGAAUAAAGGGCGAUUCGGUUGGAUUUUCAUCAACCGAUCGAGGCCGACCCUCUCGAAUCGCCCUCUUCUCUGCGUUGUAUUCGCGUCUCUCUCUCUCUCUCUCUCUCUCUCUCUCUCUCUCUCUCUCCUGCCUUUUCCCGAGGGAGAAAAUUCCACUCUUGCUUUUGGGUUCGAUUGAAUUUGACGAUUUUCCGAGCGCUUUGAUUGGGCUCGGAUUGAAUCUUUUGGGGGUUCUGCUUGUGGCGAUAAUGCGAGUGUAAAAAGCGCGACCUUUUUGUCGGCUCGUGAAGCUUCCGCGGCUGUUGUGGAGAGUUUCGUGAAAUUUUAGUGUAAUUCAUCGUGGUCCCGAGCUCGGCUCCGUUCGGUGGCUCAUCUUUCGUCGUCGCCAGAAGCGUUGGGCUGUUUCGAGGGGUUUUAUCACGAAAAAAACAUAUCUUUUUUUUUAUUAGAGAGGGAGAGGAGUUGUGGCGAGAUGACGAUGGGUUCUAUGCCGGGUAUCUCUGGGUACUUGAACUUGUAUCCAGAGCGGACAAUGUCGUAUUUCAGUAAUCUAUAUGUGCUGGGAUUCACUGUGACUUCCGGUAUAGGCGGACUGCUCUUUGGUUACGACACUGGUACCGAACAUCUUGUGUUGUUUUCCGCGAGCAUGGUUUACAUCAGUAAAUAUCUAUAUGCGUUUUCCGCAUGUUAAUCGUUGUGUACUUGUUCCUCUCAAAGUACAUGUGCAGCACGUAAAUUUGUUGAUUGCGAUUAGAUGUAUGCUUCUCAUGAGUUAUCUGAUUCCUUCCCAUGCUUCAUGAGAUUAGGUUGAUAUAUGUCGAUGGCCAAGCAAUUUGGUUGUAAUUUGUUAUUUGGCUAAAAGUUCUGGAGCAACGUAUGUUCACUUGUGUCUAUCCAGAAAAGAGUUGGUGUUUGCAGAGUUGGUCGAAUUUGUUAAACUGCAAGUGCAAAUGUAUGGGAAGUCUAUGCAUUAUUCUGUUAGUAAUCUCGAAAUUUAUCUCGCAAUAGAAGUUCAUGAACCAGGCCAAUUUUGGAGCAGCUUCGUGAUAAUGGAACCAACCAGCAAAAAGCAUUAAAGCUGCAAAGACUAAUGCACCAAUUGCGGUACAAUAGAGUUGUAAUUCACUAGUUAUUCCCGAUGCUCGCCAAAUCUGAAAAAAAACCAGAGGUUAUUUGUAUUUCUCAGAAACCCCCGCCCACAUCGCCAUUCAAUAUUUCUUGGCCCACUAUUGGCCAAACCACCUGGGCACUAGGUCCAAUGUGAGUAGGGUCGCUUAGCCAUGCUUCAUAAUUGGAAAAACGAGCACCAUGGAAAUACAUGCCACUCAGCCAAAGAAAGAUAAUGGAAAGUUUCUUAUCUUUAUAUACAGAAGCAACAUUGCUGGACAUAUACUUUCCACCUCAAGAUUUCUUAUGCAGUAUAUUUGUUUUUCAACCUUGCUUUACCUGUUGAUUUGUUUGUUUUUCUUUUUAAGUUUGAACACGGGCAAUCUUUGAAAGGUUUUGGUUCUGCUUGAACUUUGGUCACACUAUUCUCUAUUUCUGUGACCCAGCUGAAAUUUUUUUUGGCGCAUUAUCAGCAUUCAAGAGCACCAUAAUAUUCUUUGUGCUAUCCCCAGGUUUUUGGGGGUAAAUUCCCUCUCAAAAAGUUAGUUGGUUUGAGAUGUUUUACUGUAACAGAUGGUAGGAUGCUGCUUCACUUGUAUAUAUUUUUUGAAAAGGGGAUGCUUACAGGAUUUACUAUUUAAUAUCCUACUGCCCUUGUGUAUCCAGAAAGAGUCAUAAAUUGAGAUUCCUUACGAGUGAUAAGCCUGUCUUCUUCAGAAAUUUGGUUAUUCUUUUGAGUGUACUUCACACCAAAGAGGGGCGCGUUGUAUCGAUAUUUUCUGGAAUUAUAAAUUAAGUACUCUUUUGCUACUACUAGGCCAUAAUGACUUGCUUGUUACAGGGGUCAUAUCUGGGGCGCUCCUGUAUAUUAAAGAUGAUUUUGAGGCUGUCAAUGAGAGUAGCUUUCUACAGGUACGAAAAGAGAGCUCUAAAUAGGCAAAACAUAUUGUUGCCUGACAUCUUUAAGUGGGAAGCGUAGAGAAAAACAUGAGGAGUGUUUCUUUUGGGAGGAAUAGCAUAUAAUUAGCGAUUUUUAUUGUUUAAAUGUCCCACCGAAAGCUUGAGCCAAUAGGUGGUGCGAGACAAGAUGAAUAUAAUGCCCAUAUAAACCCCAUAGACAAGCAAUGUGGGAUACCUUUAACACCCCCUCUUGUGUACAAACUGGACAAAAAAUGGCACGUGGAAUUGAUGAAGGGGGGCCUCACGCAAAAUAAAUUUGGGGCCAAACCUGACUUAACACCAUGUUAGAAUAUCUAACCCAAAAGGUUAAACCAAUAGGUAAAGGGAGACAACAUGAAUCUGAGGCUCAUAUAAAUUUCACGGACAAGUGAUGCGAGAGACUUUAGCAAGUAUUAGAAAAUCGGGAUUAAGGUUCUUUGCCCUCCUUUUUUAAAUGUUUUAGUGUCUGAAUUACAUUUGGUCAUUACAUUUUAGCUCAUGGAACCCGGAAAGUUAUAUAGAGGUGGUUAGACCCGAUCUUUACAAAUGUGGUGCAUGAGCUUUUUGUGGCAGGGUGUUAACCUCCAAAAUACUCUAUGUGAAUUUCUUCAUAAUCUUUUUAAGGUCGUUGUGGUCAUUAUUACAUAUUGUAUUGACUUGAAUUUGGCAGGAAACUAUUGUCGGCAUGGCUUUGGUUGGCGUAAUGAUUGGAGCUGCUUCGGGGGGUUGGAUUAAUGAUUCUUAUGGACAUAAAAAAGCUACCCUUUUAGCUGAUGUUGUUUUGGCAGUUGGAGCAGUAGUAAUGGCUGCCACACCUGAUCCUUAUGUCUUCAUUGUUGGUCAGCUUCUGGUUGGACUGGCGUUGGUGUUGCCUCUGUUACUGGUCCUGUAUGUAUUGCAGAAGCUUCACCAUCAGAAAUAAGGGGAGGCCUUGUUAGCACUAAUGUACUUAUGAUAACUGGUGGACAGUUCCUCUCAUACCUUAUAAAUCUUGCAUUCACAGAGGUCAGGCUUACGUUGCUUUGCUAUUUGUCAAUUUGUUAUCAUAAUCAUCUGUGAUUUGCGGGUUGAUGGUUGUCCUGUUUCGAAAGCCAUAAAUAAUGGUUAAAUGGUCGUCUCAUGCCAACUUAAUCAUCACGGAGAAUGCUAAAUGGAAAUAAAUUUUUCUCACUGUUUAGUGAGACUUCCUCGAGUAUUAUGUGCUUAAAAUCUUACGGCUCAUGCAAUUUGGCUUUUAUCUUAUGCAACGCUUGAAAACUUUAGAAACUUAUAGAACUCGACAUGUAGAUAUGAAUAUUGUUUUGUUAAUGAUUUUAAAUUUAAGAUAUGCUCUUUUGUUUUCAAAUUAAAAGGAGAAAAAAAACAAUAUUUUCUUUUUUUAAGCAAAACCAAACAAACUGCACAGCUAAAUAUUAGGUUCUACAUCAAGGCAUUAAUACUCCCAUAUCAUGAACAGAACAGAUAUCUUUGAAAUCAUCAAUAUGCUGAUCAAGGCUUAUGGGGUAGUUUUUAUAAUUUUUUUUACCAGUGAAAAUCUCACAGAAGACAGCUUCUUUCCAAUUAAUCAGCUUGUUGUUAGCCCUGGGAAGUUUUCUGUGGUGCAAGUUAUGAGGAUGAGUUUGCACUGCAUGAGAAUUUCUUGCACUAGCAACAUUCUUCUGGCUGUAAGCAGUUUCAUCACUCCCUAGGCUUAGUUGAAAAAUGUUAAUAAAGUUGUCUACAUGAGUAAUGGCUCUUUUACCGGCAAGUGUUGGAGUAUUUCUAUUGGUCAGUCAUGUCUUAUAGGCCCAACUUAAUAUGACCAUCCUUCAUUGGUUGUCUGUGAAUUCAGUUCAGAUGUGGGGUACCUAUCUAGAAGUUUUCACAAUUAUACACAUGUAUUUCAAUUUUUUCCCCAGCAAAUGUGGAACAAACCUCCCCUUGCUUUUGCGAGUAUCAUUGCUUUGGAUAUCUGAGAUAUGCCUGUGCCUUUAGAUGUUUCUAGAAUGGAAGUUCCUCUGGUGCAGUAGUAAGAUAGACCAUCUCUGACCCCCACCAAAGAAAGAAAAAAAGAAAAAAAGAAAGAAAAAGAUAGACCAUCGAGUUCUUUCCUCUUUUCUUUGAGGAAAAAUGAAUUCUCGUGGAAUGAUUUUUUUGGGAUCAUUCAUUUAUUCUUCAUUUUCUGUUCUCCAUAAUUCUUUGAUUUUUUUUUUUUAUUAACCAUGAUAUCUUAGAAUAAAUAUAUCAAAUGAAGUGUGAUAGAGUCUAUAGUGGAAGCUUUUGUAACAUAAUCAUUUAUUGAGAGUUUGAGGGUGAUAUCUGGGUUUUUUUUUUUUUUGGGUCACUCAGAUGGCAAAUCUCAGUAUCGUUUGCGGGUGCACAGGGCUCUGUGGGACAAUAGUAUCUUUGAAAACAGCCGAACGCGCUCUUAAAAAAUUGUGGAAAUUUUUGGUACAAUACUCUAUGGGUGGUAUACAAUGCCUUUUCAUAGAAUGGAAUCGUCUGCACUUUUCAGUGGCAUUGAUUCUGAUCAAUCAAGUCUUUUCUUGAUACUUAUUGCUCUACACAGCCCCCCUCCAUUAUUGUGAUGUCUCUAGUUUAUAGUUAUUGUUUGACAGGUCUAAGAUAUACGUGGGCUCUCUUUUUAGAUUUUUCUGCUAGAAAUGUGGACUUAUUAUACUUGUGGUUUCAGCUAUAAGUUUCUUCACCUCAAUUUCUCGGUCUCUUCCUGGGAAGAGGAUCAAACUGAAAUUAGACUCCUUUAGUAAUUGAAAUUAGUUAGAGCACAAACUAUGGAGUUUGAUGCUUUAACAUAUCUGCUAGCAUUGGAGGCAAGCAAACAAGCAACGUUCGCCUCACCCUCUGCCAGGGUUGGAUAACGAGUGGCCAGAUCAUGCGCUGAACAAAAUAUUAAAUAUGUUUCUCUUCUUCUCUUUUGCUGGAAUCAUAAUGUGGCUUGUGCUCUUUACUUCCUCUUUUGUAUGCUACUGGAGAACUUCUCAAGCUUAUUUUGUGCAGUUUGUCCUGUUUCAAUCUUGGCAUCAGCCAUGCGGUUUGUGGGCCUUCAUGGAAAAUAUCGUUUGUUCUGUCAAAGGUUAUACAUUGUUGGUCCUCCGCCUGAGAAUUCUCUUGACAUGAACAUUUUUGAUAACUUACAUAUUGUUAAUCAUAUCCUGAACAUUGACUUGCAACCUUCAAGUUUGAUGUUUAACUCAUUUCGACAGAACUUGAUGUUGCUCAUAUUGAAACACUUCUUUUGCAGCAAAUCCAGAGGAAUGCUUUUGUUCUUUAUCAUACAUUUUCUACAUAUACUAUAGAACAAUGCCUGGAGUCUGUCUCCAUGAAUACAAUAGUACCAGAUUAUAGAUGUGCCACAAUGGCAGCUAGUAGCAGUAUCAUAAAAAAUGGAAGUAGCAUUUAGAUCCUAAGCUUGAUCACUAGCUCUUACUGCAAUGGAUCUCGUUGUCAAUGUCCGACAAUCUGCUAGUUUGUUGGUUAUUCAAUGAGAUGUUUCCAGAAAUAUCAGUUAAGAUGGAUUGUCUUGACAAGAAUUUAGUGCAUAUAAGACCUUCUACAUCUUCUGUUUCUUUGAUGUGCAUUGGGUACAUAUUGUCUGAUGAAUUCUUAACUGUCUAUUGGUUUAAAUCAUGUUAUCUGGUUGGUAAGUCGAGUGAAGAGCACUGAUUUAAGUCAUCCCUCCCUGUGACUCAAUAAGAAUACAUGCUUGUGAUGAGGGCAAGAAGAUGAGCCUAUAGGUGGAACCAGAGUGAAAAAUCCUUUCUUUGUCAACACCUGCCUUUCUUGACAGGGGUCUUCUUCGCAUUUUACGUCCCAAUGAUAUAACAUAUAGACUAAUGCAUUUAUAUAUUAUGUACAUUUUCUCGUGGAAAUUUCUUUCGCCUCAUAUAUGUCAUGCACAUUUACUUAUAAAGGAUAAAAUAGGUAGCUGUUUACCGAAGCUCAACAAACAAAAGUUGAGUGAAGUAGCCCUUAAUUCUUAGAAUGGACUCGGGCGGUGCUUAAUUUCUAGAAUAUCCCUCAUUUAUGGACUAUCGGCAAGUAUGACUUGUAUGUAGAUCUUUUUUGAGCUAAAAUUCAUGGUUUGCCCCCAAUAACUGCAAUGUAACUCACAUCACAGUUGCACCUAUUAGCAUUGUUUUAGCUUCGCAGCCUUGUUCGUCCACCCUUUUUUUGUGGCUAAUUUUGAGUAUUCGGAUCUCUUAGAACGCGAGGCUAUUCUUAUUGCACUAUGUAGCCCGCUUGUUGCAAAUGAUUAACGGAAAAUUGCCCAACAAGGUAUUGUAUGACGAUUAAUACAAUUUUAAAAUUUUAAUAUUUGCUAAUUAAAUCCUAAACCAAUGUAGUAUUCUAGUCAAUUUUGAUCAGAAAUCAUUAACUUGACAGUUCAAUCAACGCUGCUAUCCUACAUGGUAUAACCGGCAUUGGUGUGGACGAAUUGUGGGAAAAACGUCGUUUUUCCUGUUGAUAAUCUGAUGAAGAUAAAAAAAAAAAAAGAAAAAGGAAAGAAAAAGGAAAAAAAUAUAAACUUUAGCAUAAAUCAUUCACGUCAACAACGGUUGUGUUACGAAGAACAACGAUAUUGACUUUGGCAAAUUUAGGCACAAUAAAAAAAGUUUAGAAUUGAAUUAACUGUCGUACAAUAAGUUUAAGACAAUCAUCCCACUGAAUAGCAAGAUAGGAGGAUUCUUGGGUGGACCAAUGAAAUUGCCUUUCCUAAGACCGAAAGCACGACCCCAUUAAAGGCGGUGAUGAGAUGUUUUUGCUUGGAUGAACAUUACUCAAGAGUAAAUUCUGAAACUUAUCUCUUUAUAUUUCAUUAUCAUCCAUACAAGUCUACAAAUGAGAAUGUCUGGAAGAUAAUGUGCAGAAUACAAGCAACUGAAAUAAUUAUACUACGCCACGAACAUACAAAGAGUACUAUGACAUAUGAACAUACAAAGAGUACUAUGACAUAUUACAUAUAUAUCACGAUCACAAGUGACAAAGUUCUUCUUGCUUGAUGACGUCUAAAACAACCGGCAUGCUGUCUGAUCAAGGCUUUGCCUGUAGAGGUGCUGCAACCAUGUGUAAAAUAGAGGGAAAUGAAGGAAUGAAUCUCGCUAGAAGAAUUGAAAAUAAUUCUCGUUUAAGUAGAGAUGAUGUGACAACAUCCUUUCUUAUUUUUCUUUUUCUAUUGAGAAUGCGAGACUUAUUUUUUUUAUCAGCUCAUUACCAUACCCCCUCCUCAGUUUGAGACUGUUACUAAUGUACUCCAGACAAAUAUUAAUCAUGGGAUACACAUACAUGUUGCUUCAUUUUGUAAUUAAUUUGAAUACCGCAGAGAAAUUAUUCACAUACUGAUGAAAUUACCGUGAUUUUCCCCCCACCUAUUUAACUGUAGAAAACCUUAUCGACCAAGUUGUGACCAUGCUAUGCAAAUAAUAAGUACACAAACAAUGUCUGUAUAGAGCAUCGAGGUUUUGUUACUAAUUCUUGCUAUAAACAAGAAAUUAGGCAUAUGCACAUACUACAUUUGUGGAGAUGAAAUUUGAUAGAGUAUCAUUAAUUGUUUGGCGCACAAGUGAAAUCAGACAUGUUAUGUGAUUAUAUGACUAGAGAAUAUAUGAUAAAUUGAGAUUGAAGUGCCUUCGACCAAGUGUAAUACGAUGUAUGAUGAAUGAUUCAUAGAUGUAUAAAUUCUUCUACAGGCAGCUAAUAUGAUGGAAAGGUUCGAGAUAUGGAGUAAUAAGAAGACUCACUUGUAUGUGUUCCAGCGUGACCAGAAUGGCUUCCCAUCACACCUAUUUCUGCAUGUGCGAGACAAUAUUUUAUGAAAAUCAUUAUGAAAGAUCAAAUAUUAUGUGAUGAAAAGGAUCGAGAGAUGGAGUAAAAAGAGGACUCUUGAUCAUGGAGAAAAUUGUCGAAAAAGUCAUAAAUCUAUUACACUUUUAUCAAUUUAGUUAUAAAUUUUUUAAUUUUCAAUUUUGUCAAUUGAGUCAUCAAUAUUUUAACCUUUUGUCAAUUGAGAAUUCACUGACAUGAAUGCUAUCUGUCCUACCUGGCACGAUCAUCAAAGAUUGGCCAUGGAUAAUUUUUUCAACAUUUUAAUAUUUUUCUACUUUUUAUUAAUUUUUUAUUUUCUUUUUCCUUUUUUUCUUUUUUUUUCUCCUUUCACGAUAACUGUUUGGGUGAGGGUGAUGGCCAGCCUCCCCAGAUCUGGGCACGUGGCAUUUCGGCUUGGGCUUCCUCUUCGCUCCUCUGCUCGCCAUUCCGAAUUUGGUAGGUAAACGAAAUAUGGCAAGAAAGUUCAGCCAAUUCCCAUCGAGGAAAGGGUGAUUUUCGAGCAUAGGAAGGUGAGAUUUGAGGCGCUAAUUUUUGUAAAAUUGGGAAGUGAAUGAGGGACGCAUAUUCUGGAGAUUCUCGGCCAAGGAACAACUAGGAAAGAAUCGAGUGGUUCAACGCGGCUGAAGAAAUCAAUUAAAUGGAGGGUCGAGGGGAAAACCGUGAUUAGUGAGGUUGGCAGAAUGAAAGAGAUUUUCG